AUGAGUCAUACUGGUGGCAUCAACAUCCCUGAUGGCAAGUUCUACCUAGGAGAUGCUGGCUAUGCAUGUCGGCCAGGUAUUCUUCCACCCUUCAGGAAAACUAGGUACCAUCUUAACGAAUUCAUUGGUAGGAACUAUCUUAGGACUCCACAUGAGUUGUUCAAUCUCAGACACCCCAUCCUUAGAGUUACUGUUGAGAUGGCCUUUGGAGCUUUGAAGAACAUGUUUAAGAUUCUAGAUCAAAAGCCAUUUCACACUUUCCCCACACAGGCUAAGUUUGUUCUUGCUUGUUGCAUUCUGCAUAACCAGAUCCUGUAAUGAGGUUUUGAUGAACUGGUGCGUGAGGAGGAAGAUGUGACGCAUGACAAUGUUGUCAUCUCCGACCAUGGUGUGGAGGAAUUUGACAAUGAAGCCUGGAAUAACAAAAGGAUGGAGUGGGUACAAACAAUGUGGGAUAAUAGAGGUCAGACAAGGAUCUGA
rnacentral:rRNA from 1 species